UCUCAAAACUGUAUUUCUUGAGUAGUGCAGAGGUAGGCGGAAUUCCCGGUGUAGCGGUGGAAUGCGUAGAUAUCGGGAGGAACACCAGUGGCGAAGGCGGCCUACUGGGCACCAACUGACGCUGAGGCUCGAAAGUGUGGGUAGCAAACAGGAUUAGUUACCCUGGUAGUCCACACCGUAAACGAUGAUUACUAGGUGUUGGGAGAUUGACCCUCUCAGUGCCGCAGUUAACACAAUAAGUAAUCCACCUGGGGAGUACGACCGCAAGGUUGAAACUCAAAGGAAUUGACGGGGGCCCGCACAAGCAGUGGAGUAUGUGGUUUAAUUCGACGCAACGCGAAGAACCUUACCAAGUCUUGACAUCCUGCGACGAGUGCAGAAAUGUACUUUUCCUUCGGGACGCAGAGACAGGUGGUGCAUGGUUGUCGUCAGCUCGUGUCGUGAGAUGUUGGGUUAAGUCCCGCAACGAGCGCAACCCUUAUGGAUAGUUACUACGCAAGAGGACUCUAUUCAGACUGCCGUUGACAAAACGGAGGAAGGUGGGGAUGACGUCAAAUCAUCAUGCCCUUUAUGACUUGGGCUACACACGUACUACAAUGGCGUUAAACAAAGAGAAGCGAGACCGCGAGGUGGAGCAAAACUCAAAAACAACGUCCCAGUUCAGACUGCAGGCUGCAACUCGCCUGCACGAAGUCGGAAUUGCUAGUAAUCGCAGAUCAGCAUGCUGCGGUGAAUACGUUCCCGGGCCUUGUACACACCGCCCGUCACACCAUGAGAGCCGGGGGGACCCGAAGUCGGUAGUCUAACCGCAAGGAGGACGCCGCCGAAGGUAAAACUGGUGAUUGGGGUGAAGUCGUAACAAAGGUAGCCGUAAGCC
rnacentral:rRNA from 1 species